UGUAAGCGUAUACCAAAGUUGUUGCAGUUAAAACGCUCGUAGUCGGAAUUUGGCAGUUCCGGAAGUGUGCACGUCGUGUGCGCACUUGGCGGGGACUGCUUUUGUGGUCUUGCGUAGGAUGAGGCACUUUCAUUAGUGAACGUCCUCACGCAACCACUCUUUACUGUGAGAAAAUCAGAGUGCUCAAAGCAGGCAUUUGCCGUGAAUGUAUUAGCAUGGAAUAAUAGAAUAGGACUCGGUUCUAUUUUGUUGGUUUGUUGGGACUGAGUAAUGAUUAAGAGGGACAGUUGGGGGCAUUUGUAUUCCGGCGCUAGAGGUGAAAUUCUUAGAUUGCCGGAAGACAAACUGCUGCGAAAGCGUCUGCCAAGGAUGUUUUCAUUGA
rnacentral:rRNA from 1 species